CAGGUGCCCCUAAUUUUUUGUUUAAACGUUGAAUACUGGUAGAAGUCACAUAAAAUUUUAAUAAAUCAGCACCCAUUUUGGGCAAGUAGUACUUCUGCUUUCUUUCUAUGGUGGACUUCAUCUUUGCUUUUAACAAACUGCAGGCUACAUUGCUGUUAUUCAGAAGCUGUAAAUAACUUGGGCAAGGUAGUUAUCAUUCUAUGGUUUUUUUCCCCCUCAUGCAGAAAAUCUCAGCCCUGUUUCCUAUCUUAGGGGGCCUCAGAUAACUGAAAAGCCUCAUUGAACAUUUGGUGUCUAGUGCAAAAUAGUAUGCUUGAUGCCGAGGAGGAAUACCAAGAUGUACAGGACACAGAGCCCUGCCCUUCUAGAGCAAGAAUUUGGAUGAAGCGGCCCAGCAGAGAAACCAACCGUCAGUCGGUACAACCUCUCCUUUUUUGGCCUUUCGCUAUCAAGUACAUCCAGUGUGUAUCAAGUGUGGUGUGCACUCAACUAGUUUAAUUCCCAAACUGCCAACCUAAGGUGGGAAAUGCAGAAUUCUAUUUAAUUUUCACUUUUAAAGGGGUGAUUAUGGGUUUGCAGUCUUAGGUGUUUGCGGAGGGACUUCCUUUUUCCUGUCCCGGAGAGGCGUACCUAAUUCCUACCUGCUUCCUAAGACAAUCCGCACUUCCCUUCCUGGUCUAAGAGCUCACUGAGCACUGACCAAUAGGUUCGGCCCGAUUUCUCUGAGGGGCGGGACCUCGUGCCUGGGCUUCGGAGACCCGCCCCCCGUACGUGGCCUGCGUGCGUGACGACGUGCGGCGCGAGGCGGUUUCUCCAGAGUGUGGCGCCCCCCGGCGGCAGCGAGAACUCAAUGUGACAACCGGACCUGAGCGCCUGCCAUGGAGCCGCAGAAACAGGCGCGAACACCCGGGGACCCUGUCGCGUGGCCGCGUGGGCCCUCGACGUCUCAGACGCCGGACGACGAGGAGGGGCCGGAGGGCAACACAGCGCCCGCGGCGGCUUUUCUGGGCGCGGAGGCGGACGACGCCUGUGCGGACGCGCUGUGGGAGCUGCCGGUGGAGCCCGCCGAGCGGAGGCCCGAGUGCAGCCGCUGCAGCCGGCCUCAGAAAGUAUGUUUGUGUCCAUUUCUACCAUUGCAUCCUCUGCAUAUCUCUACUCAUUUGUACAUAAUUCAACAUCCAGCAGAGGAAAACAAAGUGUUGCGGACAGUUCCCCUUUUAGCAGCAUGCCUCCCCCAGGACAAGUGUAAAGUCAAGAUUGGUCGUCGCUUCAGUGAAGAAAGAGAUCCUGAACUUUCAACUGUUUGUCGGAAGUCUGAUACAUUAAUAUUAUAUCCAGGGGCUGAAGCUGCUAAUUUGGAAGAAUUUAUAUUAGAUUCUCCUAUUUAUCCUUCCACAAUCAUCAUCAUUGAUGGUACAUGGAGCCAGGCUAAGGACAUUUUCUAUAAGAAUUCUUUGUUCCGCCUGCCCAAACAGGUGCAGUUAAAAACUAGCGUUUCUAGUCAGUAUGUAAUUCGGACACAACCGACUAAUAGGUGCCUUUCUACCCUGGAAUGUGCAGCUGCUGCUCUUUCCAUUUUGGAGAAAAAUGAUUACAUACAGGAGACUUUGCUUCGCCCUCUUCAAGCUUUGUGCUCUUUCCAGCUGCAGCAUGGUGCUCAAAUUCGCCUCAGCAAGGAACACCUUCUGAAAAAUGGAUUAUAUCCUAAGCCAAUGCCAAAGAACAAACGCAAGCUCAGGAAAAUGGAACUGUUAAUGAACAGUGUUAAAAUUUAGUACUGUUGUUCCGUGGUGCUAGUUAUGGUGUCUUCCGCUGAUAAAACCAGAUUAGUGGGGAAAGUUGAUGCUGAUUGGUGCUGAUGCUGAUGGGGAAUAGCCAGAUUCACACUGCAAAAGGACCAAGAAGAAGACAGAGCAAAUGCUGAGCUGAGAUAUCUUUGGGUAUGCCACCAUGCUGACAUGAAACAUUCCAGAGCCCUUAGCUUACCACGAAAAUGACCUACUGCAGAGACAAAACGGAAGCCAUCAGCUGGGAACGGAAUCUUUCCACUACCGCUGCAAGGGGCCUUCCUCUCUUCUUGGCAUGUGCUAGUGGAGCCACUCCACCCUGAUCUAUUCACCUGUUGGACACCAAGUCAGAUGACAAAAGAACUUACAAGAAGAAGAUCCUGCUGACAAAUGACUUUGUCUCUUUUCCUAAUCUUGAUCCAAAGGGAGGGACAGAUGGCAACUGAGCGUCGAGUUUCAGUUACCGGCAAUUGACUACAAUCUGGAGGCAGAUGGUCCUUUUUCUGAUACACGGUCAGAAGGUUGAUGCUAGUAACCUAACGCUUCAUCACCUCACUUUAUCUCAUCGCGUAGGCAUUUUAUCAUCUCACACCAUCCUACGAGAAAGGCAGAAACUUCUUUUGUGUGUGUGCCUGAGAAGAGAUGAACAUACAUUCCCUCCUACCAGGCUGAACGUUUGGCCAGAAAACACAACUCACCCGUUGGCGGCUGACAAUCCAGGCGUGUUCUUGUUAAGAGCUUGUUUGGAGUGGGAACACGGGUAGCUCUGGGAGCCCUGCUGACCAUUAUCUUCCCAUUCAGGAAGGCCUUGGGUAAACUGCCACAUGAUCUCCAGUGCCACUUCCCAUUUGUUAUUCGGACAAUAAAACGGAUAUAACUCCACGCAUGACCUUGGUCCAUGCUUGCUAGGUGCUCCAAGAGAGUUAACUGGAAUCAGCAGUGGCCUCCCUGAAUUCCGUGGAAAAGACCAGAUGCAUAUGCUUCUGCUAUUACGGUGCUCAGUGUUUGGAAAGGAGCAGUUUUGCAUUGUUAUGCAAACACCAAGGUUUGCAACGUGACCAGAUUUAUUUAUGGCCUCUGGAGAGAUGUACUACUUCUAGUGCUGACAGAGGUCAGGUCUUCCAGGAUCCUGGCAGCUGCUGAGCAAGUGAGGAAACAAAGAGCCCCCCAGUGUGGUAGGUGAGCGUCAGAGCCGGAAAUCCAGGGAGGGCAUGACAUUGAGCCUUCCAACAUCCAAUCUUUCCAACGUCUUCACAGCCGUAUCUCCUUGUCAGAGCUCUGGAAGAAUGGUAUUUUGUUUCCUCCCCUCCAUUGGCAAGCGAGUCCCAGGCAUCCAAAUGCAGCAAGACAGGACACAUCUUGUAAAGGGCAUGACAGUCUACUUUUCAAGUCUCAGGAUUAUCUAAAGACAGAAGAGUUCUGCGAGGUGAAAUGAGUGAACUUGCUUGCUUCCGGGUACAGUGCAUUUAGAGAAGAAUAGGAGCUUCAUCGACACAUAAAUAAUUGAGACAAACAAGGCAUACAGAUUUGCUGCUUAAGUGCUGAACAUGUUCAGACAAGAUGGAAGAAAUUGUUCAAAAAGGGAGAUGGGAAGAAAAAAAAUUCUCUGAAGAUGGAGGAGUAUCCAUGUCAGGAUGAAGAAAUUGGCAAGUGGAUACAUGUAACAAAACAGAAAAAGAGAAGGAAAGAAAAUUCACUAGGGUAGGAGCUAUGGAAAGGCCUGCGAGCCUACAAAAUUAAGCUGUACCUUUACUGGAAGAUACAAAAUACUAGGCCAGGUGAAAUCCUAAUGAUGCAAGAAACACAUGCACAUUGCAAAGUAGAAUAACCACAGUUGUAACUCUUGGGAAAUAACAAUGGUUAAUACCUUUUGAACUGGGACUCCAGAAAAAGGUAAAUUAACAUGCUUAUCCAGGAGCUGAGCAGUUUUCUGGGGGCAUAAAUCUCAGUCAUAAAUGAGACCUGCUUGGACUCAUUAAACCCACUAAUCAAUUAACUCCAGCUGGGAGGGAAGGAACAAAGGAGAAAUUUGUUCCCAAACCAUGUUCCCAAGGAAACUUCCAAAAGAAGGGAAAAAAGGCUCUGUGCUGAGUUAAGCUCAGGCAGUGUCAUAUGCUAAAUCUUUGCUUUUGGAGAGUCUCAGGAAAUCAACCUGGUAGACUUAGUUUAGCUGAGACUUUUUCAAAGAUAUUUGACCAUGGUAUACUUUUUCAGUAACAUAUACAUUAAAGUAUGGAACAAACUUUUUGUGAAUGUAUGAUUCUUGAAUAUCUGGUAAUGCUCAUUGGCCUGUCAAGUGAUUUGAUAUUUACAGAGAAAAAAAAAAAGAAAGAAAUACUUUUAUUUGUACAUAUUUCACAGCUUUGAAAUAGAAGAUUCUUAGAUUUUCAGAAAUUCAGUUAUUUUGUUAUAAUCUUGUGUGUGCUACACAUACUAUAUCAUCUGUUCAUCCUGCCUUCGAUUCAGUUAUUAGAAAAUAGAUGGUUUUGGCUGAAGUAUUUUCUAACCACUUGCUUAUUGCAUAAGCUAAGUUCAUGUUUUCUUUUUAUAGUUGCUAUGCAUUUUAGCCCCAGUUGAUGAAAAUUGAUUAAAAUGUUGUACAAUAGAAUAAACACCAUGAUAAAUAUUGUAAAGUGAAUGUAUCUUCUCAAAAAUAAUAGUGUGGAUAUAGAACACAAAUCUGCAUUGUCUCAGAAAAGUAAUCACUCGUAACACAUUCACCUGAGUGGCCAAAAAAGAAAACUACAUGUAAAAGGUACAUUGAAUAUUCAGAUGGAUACAUUGAAGUACAAUUUUAUAGGAUCUACAAUCUAUUUCUAGAAUUCUGUCACAUACAAACAAACUCUGUUUAUUAUGCUCUUUUCAAAGUGCUGACAAAUCAGUCAAUCAAAUCAAUCUAGAUUCUUCUAAAAUAGGAAUCGGAAUAAAAUUAUGUUUAUUCAGAGAACUGCUGGGAUCUCCAAGUUGUCACAGCACAGCAACCACAAACUUCGGGGCCAAGAAAGGGAAGGAAAAGGGGAAAAAAAAUUAAUGAGCUGGAAAGCUGGAGAAACUCCAAAAUCUUUGGGAAAUAGAAAAAGUUUACAUGACAUAGGAAAUUCUUGAAUCAUGUUAUUAAGUCAGGAAGGCACAACAUUUACUGUGGGAUUUUUUUGAUCCUACAUUCCUCAAAAAAAGAAAAAGUACGUCGUGCUAUUGCCAGAAAGAUGAUAAACUAGCGUAAAGUUGAGAAAGAAAAGAAAAUUUGCAGGUUACAAUUUUUGAGUCAAGUAAUAUUGUAGAGCGUUGCCUAAUGUCAAGGAUAUAUGAUUUACAAAGGCAGUUGCCAUCACACACUUACUAAAUACUUAGCAAUUUCAGUUGGACAAAACCAGUGAUGUGCUCGACAUGAACACAUUCUCUGCAAAGAUGCAGUCCAUUUGAGAAAGAAAAGUGCUCAAUGACUCUCUCUGUUGGUCAUCACUAAAUAUAAUGCUAACAGAGAAAUUAAAAAAAAUUGUUAAUAAUGAUAAUAAAAAAAUUGUUAAAAAAUGUUAAUUGUUAACUGAGUUGUACUGCAGACUCGAAAAGGUGUUCUGAGAUAGGCAUGGGAGAGCAUGUGCUACUUGUACAGGAAGGAAUGGCGUUAGUGGGUAGAUUGCUUUGAAUGCCAGGAACCAACAGCUUUAGUCACAGAAAAUGUUUGAUUGGAAACAGUUUCUCUUUAAAUUACAAAAACAACCACAUUAUUGUGAGUGUUUAUUCUUCUUUUCAGUGUGUUUGAUUGAACAGCUUGUAGGAGACUGAUUUUUUUUUACUGGAGUCUUCCAGCUGUCGGUGAAAAACAGGUAUACGCUCACCGGUUUUUAAAAUAAAGAUGAUAAAAAUAUUUUUCUUGAAACAUGUUAUGGCCAAUAAUUUCAAGGUUUAUUCAAAUGAUGAUAUGUUUGAAUCUUGAAAAGGCUAAACUUAGUGCGUAAAAGCAUAUAGAUCAUGACUUUGUCUUGUUGAAUCAAAGUAUUCCAUGAUUUAAAAUAAGACUGUAUUGUAGAGCAUUUUGGCUCAUACUAUGAGUUUGAUUCUUAUUCAGUGCUUGAUGAUUUUCUUCUCUCAUCAGAGAAAAAGAUUGAUAAUGUGUCAUGAUUAUGUUUUACAUCAAUAUCUAAAUGCUGCCACAAAAUUACUUUCCAGGGCCAAAUACAAUGUAGCAAACAAAAAUCUAUUUGCAAGAACCUUCCAAAUUAAAACAUUUUAAUAUGCUUUGGUUGCCAAUUUAUAUUCUGGAGGCCCAUUAAAGAUAGUGUUUGAUGUGAAAUUUCUUCAUAAUUUUUGGGUCAGUGUUUAACUUUUUAAAACUAUGGAAGUUUACUGCCGUUAUGCUUGACUUAUAAGACUAAAAAUAUAAAUCAACUCAACCUGUACCUAUUACUUAAUCUAUACCUAAUCUCCCUAUUUAUUUCUGGCAUUAUGUUGAGAUCUUGGUGUGAGAUUAGAAGUGAUAUUUUCCUUAUGACUGAUCAGAAAUGAAUGAAAAUGCCAAUUUCAACAUAGGCUUUAUUUUUAUAACUUAAAAUCAUAACACUUAAAGUUUACCCAGAGUUAGUGAUAGGGAUUUUUGUUAAAUAACUAGGACAUGUGUUGUAGAUAAAAUGUUUGAGAAACCUUGGUGUAGAGGAGUAUUUUGGAAAAUGUUAGAUGAGAAACUCAAGGGUUUGGAGGCAUGGAACAUGGAAACCAUUAACAAAGAAAAUGGCAUUGUUUCUUUCUUUUUUUUCUUUUUUAAAGUAGGUGUCAUGCACACUGCAGGGCUUGAACUCAUGACCCUGAGAUCAAGAGUCAUAUGCUUAACCAACUGAGCCACCCAGGCACCUGAUGCCAUCGUUUCUAAAACCAAACUUGAAUAAGACAAGAGGGAGUCUGAUGUUCAAGUAAUUCUAUAAAACAGAGUUUUGUCCACAAGAAUAGAUAUGACUGAAAAAAAAAAACCAUACUGGAGAAAUACCAGUGGUAAUUAGGAAAUUAGAAAGAACGAA